GAGAUAUUUGAUUUCAGUCGUUGUUUUCCUCUGCUAAUAGGGGCAACCAUCUCUGGUUCCCCAAGGGAUAGCGGGACGAUACCACGUCCACGACCACGGCCUCCCCCACCUCUGUUUGGGCGACGUGUUCUUCGACGGUUGCCUCUGCUACUUUCCAUUUAAAUUCUGUCUCGAUUUGCAAAGAAAAUCAGACUAAAAUAAAAAUAAAAUUGGAAACAAGAAAACAAAAUUGAACAUAAAUAGAAUACAAUAUAUUGAUGUAAUCAAUGAAGAACACACAACAACAAAUUUAACUAAAAGAACAAUUUCAAAAGGAAAUAAAAGAACACACACACUUAUUUCAUUUACAAUAAUCACCAAAAUUACCAUAAAAUAAACAACCAAAACAGAGAAAUUAAAAAUCACAGAACAAAGGUGAAGGAGACGGCAUUUACGUUUUGAAGAACACUCUAAACGAACUGUUAGAACUCAAACCACAGAGACGAAGAACAUUUAAAAAUUCUAUGAUGAAACACACUAAUCCAGCAUCUUCUCAAUCAAGAAUCAUAUACGUUUGACACAAAAAAAUUGAGGGGGUGCCAAAUAUGAAAUCAAAACUAACCUAAAAUGGAAAGAAAGUCAAACUCAAAUAGUUGGUAUGAUGUAGCUGAUGUAGCUCGUACACUU
rnacentral:lncRNA from 1 species